GCAUUAGGGAGGAGGGUCCUGGGGAAGUCAAAGCUUCCACACCUGUUCUCAAAGCCCCUCUGAGGUAUCCCCUCCCAGAUUCCAGAUCAGAGCUGUGAUGGCAUCAAGAAGGAAGUGAGACGCCCCUGGGACACUCCCAGGAGGGAGCAGAGGCUCUGGGGCUCCUGGCAGAUGGGGAAAUUGAGGCUCAGACAGUUACAGGGGCUUGAGUCAGCCACCGUCAAGCUGGCCCCAGGGCUCCUUCUCCUCUCCUGUGCUCGCUCUCAGCCCAGCUGGCUCCUCAGACUUCUCCUGGACAGGGUUGUAAACUCCAGCACUGGUCGACAAUCUCUUCACUGGAGGCAUCUGGCACCUAGAGGACCCUGUGGAAGCCAUGAGGGGU